CCUACGGGAGGCAGCAGUGGGGAAUAUUGCACAAUGGGGGAAACCCUGAUGCAGCAACGCCGCGUGAGUGAUGAAGGAUUUCGGUAUGUAAAGCUCUAUUAGCAGGGAAGAAAAUGACGGUACCUGACUAAGAAGCCCCGGCUAACUACGUGCCAGCAGCCGCGGUAAUACGUAGGGGGCAAGCGUUAUCCGGAUUUACUGGGUGUAAAGGGAGCGCAGACGGCAGUGCAAGUCUGGUGUGAAAGCCCGGGGCCCAACCCCGGAACUGCACUGGAAACUGUGCGGCUAGAGUACAGGAGGGGUAGGCGGAAUUCGUGGUGUAGCGGUGAAAUGCGUAGAUAUUAGGAGGAACACCAGUGGCGAAGGCGGCCUACUGGACAGUAACUGACGUUGAGGCUCGAAAGCGUGGGGAGCAAACAGGAUUAGAUACCCCAGUAGUC
rnacentral:rRNA from 1 species